GCUGAUUUGAACAACGAUUUGUAUUAUGCUAAAAACAAAACCAUAACAAGUCCACUUAAAUAUAGACCAAAGUGAUUUUGAAAGUGGUUGCAGUACUGCAGUAUGAUACCCAAAUUCAUCUGGAUGAGUUAACUCAGAACUUUGCAUUGCAAGAUCUCAAGAGCAAGAUACUCUGUCCCUUUAUGACUUUUUCUGACCGGGUUUAUGUAUAUGUGCCUGUGUUGCUAUAUGAUAUAUUUGAGAUUGUCCUGUAUUUUUUGUCUGAAUAAGAUUUAUGUCCUGUCAAUAUGAAUGUAGAUUGCAUAAAACAGAAAAUCUGUACUAAUCCUCUCUCUGUGAAUAGCAUCAGGGUCCAGGUUUAGUAAACUACUGAAAUACAAGGUGAGCUUCUAAUAUAUCUAGAUUUCUAGCUAUUUAUCACACAUACAUACCAACACACAAUACAUUGCAACAUUUUUAACACGUUUAUACAUCAUUAGAUGUUACUACUCCCACAAGUACCCCAACAAGAUCCCUGUCCCCUAGUGGUAUUGAACAAACACAGAUUUGUUUAUUAGUUUAUUUAAUAUCAUCAUUCCACUAUGCAAGUUGAUAAUACAUAGACAAAUCUGGACAGAAUAUACUCUUUGUACUGUUAUUACAGGUGUUUUCUAAAUAUAAUGCCUUGUAUUGAUACUUCCAGAUAGCUGCUGAGAACAUCAUCAAUAUUUUAAUCCCACAUUAUGUAUUUUGCACCACCAUUUUGAGGCAAACUGGCAGCAAUCUGGACAUUUGGGCAAAGUGAUUAAAAACUUUCAAAAUGGCACCCACCAAACUAUUUAAGUCACACUGGUGCUGCUCAAUCCAGAGGACCCACCUCAAACAGCAUAAAGGCCAGGCAUUUAGUGUAAAUGCACACAAAAUUCCAAAUUACCGAGUGACAAUGUUUCAACUCAAUUUAGCCACUGUCAAGCCUUGAUAAAGGCUGUGUUGUGCCAAAACAUUGUCACUCUGUGAUUUAGAAUAGAAAGUCCUGUUUGCACUUACACUGGUGCUUGGUCCUAUUUUCUUCUAGAAUUUGGGGGGAAAAAGAGGGUUCAAUGUUCCUUGUAGUUAUUUUGUUUCCCACAGACAAAAAUAGUACUGGCUUAUCUGGCUCACAGUUGCUCUGGUACAAAUUGUGACCUUUGCAUCUCUGUUCCUUUAGCAACUGGCAAUUGAACUAUGCCUGGUUGUCUUAUAGUUAUUAUGACCAUGGUUCUAUUUAAUUGCCUCUUUAACAUAUGCAUAUAUUUCCAAACUUUGCAUUUGAUUCACUAAAGAUUUGAAGACGUUAGUAAGUAUUGUAUGCCCUAAUUAAUUUUUACUAAUAUGUAUAUCAAAGCACACAAUAUAGAAACUGGUAAACAUUUAAAUCAUAUAAAAUAAACUGUAGUAUUUCUUGUAAGUAAAAAUUGCAUAUAGAUAUUUGAUGACAAAAGAAAAACUUUACAGGCGUAAGCGCAAUAAGUUGGAUGUGAGUAUGUAGGACAGACAUGAACGGAGAAAUUCAUAAUUUGUAGAAAGAUGCUGAAACUUGUGGGAAUUUGUUUCUCUGCUAAGGAUUCUUUUAAUAGGAGAUCAGAUAAAGAGAAACCAUGUAUUUCUGUAACUUCAUACUGCCAACGUUUUGAACUGAAGCAUUUACAAGAAAUGUAUGAUUAUGGGUUUCUUGAAUAAAAUGUUUUGCAAAACUGAAAUGUGAAAUCAUAUUAAGGGUCCAGGCUUGUAAAACCAACAGGGAUCUGCUAGCAUCUAAAGCUUGACUUAUAUACCAAAUGAUACCGCACUCAAUAGAAUAGAUAUAACUGAAUAUAAAUGUAUUAGCAAAAAUGCAAGCUAUCUCAUAUAAAGACAAGAGAACACCAUAUAUUUAUAUAUGAAAAAUAUCUUAUCCACUAUACUAUUAAGUGCAAAAAAAAGUGCUAAAGUGCAAAAUAUCACAUCACCAUGGUUCCUAAAUGAACAUUUAUAAAAUACAACCAUUAAUGCCUGUUUCAAAAUCCUCUGCACAGAAUAAACCGCAUGGUCCAGCAAAACAGACUGUACAUAAAGGUAUUGAGUUGUAUGAGGAAAACAAUCCUGGUAAUUUACAUCAAAGUUAAACAAUAGGGAUCCCAGAACAAAACUCAAAGUUGAAAAAAAAAAAAAAAGGUCAUGGACUGAUCUCACCCAUGGGUUUGGCUGGGAGGCCUCCUGUUUGCUUUAAGAGUCCCAAAUCCAGAUGGAUAUACUCUUCUGUAAUGUGUCCCAAGUGUUAUCUUUAGAAACUCCCACUGGAGAACAGAGAGACUGGAGAUGAAUGUGUGCAAAGAUGUGGAUUAUUCCUAGUGAUAGCAGGAUGCAGGCUGGAGAAUUUGGGCCCCGAAUUCUCCAGCCUGCAUCCUGCUGUCACUAGGAGGAAUCCACAUCUUUGCACACAUUCAUCUCCAGUCUCUCUGUUCUCCAGUGGGAGUUUCUAAAGAUAACACUUGGGACACAUUACAGAAGAGUAUAUCCAUCUGGAUUUGGGACUCUUAAAGCAAACAGGAGGCCUCCCAGCCAAACCCAUGGGUGAGAUCAGUCCAUGACCUUUUUUUUCCAACAUUGAGUUUUGUUCUGGGAUCCCUCUUUUUUAACUUUGAUGUACAUUACCAGGAUUUUUGUCUCACACAACUCAAUACCUUUAUGUACAGUCUGUUGUUUUGCUGGACCAUGCGGUUUAUUCUGUGCAGAGGAUUUUAAAACAGGCAUUAAUGG